rnacentral:misc_RNA from 1 species
GCACCCUUUUCUUUAACAAUUGAAAGACAACAUCUACGGAGAUUUCAUGUAGUGCCCCCCAGUUUCAGAUUGACUAUGCCACCAACACCAAUAGUAAGGCCAGCCUGAACUUGACCCAUCUCUUAUCCAACACAAUAAAGGAGUGUAGCAUAGAAUGACCAUAAUAAUAAACCAUGUGCAAUGUCCAAAUAAUCUAUAUAAUUCUCAAUUAGAAUCAGCAAAACAGUUUAAAUAGUACAAAAACAACUUACAUUGAAUUCAACAUCAUGUUU